AAUCAACGCUGGCGGCGUGCCUAACACAUGCAAGUCGAACGCGGUUGCCUCGCAAGGGGCAACUGAGUGGCGAACGGGUGAGUAACACGUGGGUGACCUACCUUCGAGUGGGGGAUAACGUCCCGAAAGGGACGCUAAUACCGCAUAACAUCCUGCCUUUGAACAGGCGGAGAUCAAAGCCGGGGCUCGUAAGACCUGGCGUUUGGAGAGGGGCCCGCGUCCGAUUAGCUAGUUGGUGAGGUAACGGCCCACCAAGGCGACGAUCGGUAACCGGCCUGAGAGGGCGGACGGUCACACUGGGACUGAGACACGGCCCAGACUCCUACGGGAGGCAGCAGUGGGGAAUUGUUCGCAAUGGGCGCAAGCCUGACGACGCAACGCCGCGUGGA
rnacentral:rRNA from 1 species